CCUACGGAGGCAGCAGUGGGGAAUAUUGCACAAUGGGCGCAAGCCUGAUGCAGCCAUGCCGCGUGUGUGAAGAAGGCCCUCGGGUUGUAAAGCACUUUCAGCGGGGAGGAAGGCGUUAAGGUUAAUAACCUUGUCGAUUGACGUUACCCGCAGAAGAAGCACCGGCUAACUCCGUGCCAACAGCCGCGGUAAUACGGAGGGUGCAAGCGUUAAUCGGAAUUACUGGGCGUAAAGCGCACGCAGGCGGUCUGUCAAGUCGGAUGUGAAAUCCCCGGGCUCAACCUGGGAACUGCAUUCGAAACUGGCAGGCUAGAGUCUUGUAGAGGGGGGUAGAAUUCCAGGUGUAGCGGUGAAAUGCGUAGAGAUCUGGAGGAAUACCGGUGGCGAAGGCGGCCCCCUGGACAAAGACUGACGCUCAGGUGCGAAAGCGUGGGGAGCAAACAGGAUUAGAUACCCUAGUAGUC
rnacentral:rRNA from 1 species